ACAGAAGCCAAGAGCAUACUCCAGGGUUGAAGAUCUUACUGGUUGCUUAUGAUACUUUUUAUGCCUCUUCCAAUAGUACGGGCUCAGCAAUAAACUCCCUCUCUUUAGAAAGGACCUGUCUGAAGCAGUGAUGCUAGCAAGGAAAACUGUCUACCAUUGUCAUCGGUUUGAACAGUGGAUGAGGCUUACCUAAAAUAGGACAAAUGUAGGGGAUAUUAAAUGAGGGCUGCGGCUCAAAACAGCUUGGACAUGGUGAAAACUGACAUGGAAAUCCUGUUGGAGUCCAGUGGAAUCAAAUUCUGGUAAAAAUAAUCACAAAAAAGCGGAAGAAAGGAUGACACAGGCUUCGUCAGCAGUGGAACACUAGGCUGAAGUCUAAAAGCCAGAAAGGUCAGACCUCAAAGUAGCAGUGGAGCAGCAUAACAUGACACUCAGGAAAUGUAGAAGCAUGGAGAGACUCCAAGAUCGCAUCGGAGUUGUCAAGCUGGUGAUUAAUCAUUAAUGAGAUAAGCAAAUGAUGCAAAGUCAUGCUUACCCCUCAAAGUUGCAAUGCUGGGUUCCUCAAGACAUGAUGACUAUCUGUUUAUGAGCAGGACAGAAUGGGGAAAGGAAUUGAAUUAGUGCUGUCAAGCUGAUUAGCACUAUGGUAAAUUCAAUUAUGCUUGAAUUCUGGAAUCCAUUUGACUGAUUGAUGUAGGAGCUGAUAGCGUUUUACCUUAACUAGAUAGUGGCUGCCUCGGAACACCGGAAAGAAUAUGUACAUGUGCAUGCCCCAAAGUGUAAAUUGAAAUCACUUCUGAGAUUCCAUCAAGUGACACAAACGCUACAUGAGAUUUGGUGUAUUUUGAUAUAUACUUUAAUUCUGUCAGAUUUAUUUUCAGAAAGUCCGUUUGAGAAAUGCUUGUAAUAAACAAAUUUAGCAACCUUUAUUUGAAUGUAAAAGCAACUAGACAAUACUUUGGUAGUUUGUUCAUUCUUACUCUUUUGAAAUGAUCAACAUUGGAGCGUGGGAUAUUCCUCUAUCUGAGUGAGGGAUUGGUACCCAGGGUUGUCAUUCAAAUUGAUUCUGUUGCCUUUUACAGGAAAUGGCAUGCAUAGGCGUUUGAACUCUGCAGUGGAAGCUGAAGCGGCUGUUGAGAAUUUCAAACUUGUUGUUUUGUCAAACCACCAGCAUAUCACUUGUGGCUGACAUUCAUAAACUCUGCACUUCCUUUCUGAUGGAGUUUGGACUAGUAUUCAUGAAUGAAGCUAAUAUCGCUGCUAGUACUUAUGCUGCAAAUUAAGCUUGCUAAACCGAGGUGCACUGAAGGUGGUGUCCAUGAACCUCCAACUUCCCUGUGUUUACAUUGUAUUCAUUUUUUCUUUGAUGAAAUCUGAUUUCAGACCAAAACCAGGCUUGCCAGGAGACCCAUUAGAAGUAGUUUUCUAUAUUUAAUCCUUU